rnacentral:rRNA from 1 species
GACGAAGGAUGCAAGCGUUAUCCGGAUUCAUUGGGUUUAAAGGGAGCGUAGGUGGCCUUAUAAGUCAGUGGUGAAAUCUCUGGGCUUAACCCAGAAAUUGCCAUUGAUACUGUAGGGCUUGAGUAUAGAUGCCGUUGGCGGAAUAUGACAUGUACUCUGGAGUAGAAUCCUAACAUAUGUGAAGGAACACCGAGUGGCGAAGGCACCUUUCUAGUUUCAUCAGACGCUAGGGUACGGAAGCUUAGGUAUCAAACAGG